rnacentral:rRNA from 1 species
AGCGAACGCUGGCGGCAGGCCUAACACAUGCAAGUCGAACGGACCCUUUGGGGUUAGUGGCGGACGAGUGAGUAACACGUGGGAACGUGCCCUUUGGUUCGGAACAACUCAGGGAAACUUGAGCUAAUACCGAAUGUGCCCUUCGGGGGAAAGAUUUAUCGCCAUUGGAGCGGCCCGCGUCUGAUUAGCUAGUUGGUGGGGUAAUGGCCUACCAAGGCGACGAUCAGUAGCUGGUCUGAGAGGAUGAUCAGCCACAUUGGGACUGAGACACGGCCCAAACUCCUACGGGAGGCAGCAGUGGGGAAUCUUGCGCAAUGGGCGAAAGCCUGACGCAGCCAUGCCGCGUGAAUGAUGAAGGUCUUAGGAUUGUAAAAUUCUUUCACCGGGGACGAUAAUGACGGUACCCGGAGAAGAAGCCCCGGCUAACUUCGUGCCAGCAGCCGCAGUAAGAC